AAAUUUAAUCUUUAAAAAUAAACAGCCUCGAUGAAGCGGGUAACAGUGGCAGAGACGGAAAUUUGCGACAUGAGAAAAUGCGACAAAGUGGUUCUGUCGUAAAAUUUGGAUUUUUUUUAGCGCAGCAUUUUUGAAUGUGAAGUUUUUAGAAUUGGAUUUAAUUGAUUGAAUGCAAAAAAUAAUCAAAAUAUUCCUAAGUAAUGCUCACUACAGCUCAAACCUUGUCUGAAACGAUAAAAUCUAAUUUAAAUCAGGUUGGUUUGAGGCUUUAAAUUAGCUUGGGUUGAGGUUUUUGUGCAAAAUAAUAUUCAAAAUGUUCCUAGCUAACGCCCGUAAUUGUUCAUAGCUAAUGCUCGCAACAGCACAAACCUGAACUGAGAAAAUCUUAUUUAAAUCAAUCACAGGACAUUUUUGGAGAACAUUUAGCCUUUGAUGUUUAUGUUUAUGAGAACAUUGAACACGGAUUUUAAUUUUUUGGAGAACACUAUACACGAACUUUACUACAUAGUAUAU